GCGAGCGCCUGGGUGCAGCGCGGUCCGCGUGCGUCACCCCGGAGCAGUUAGAAACGCGGCCUGCGCGGUCGCCCACCCCUGGGCAGCUGAGUCUGAACUGCCUGAGGCCUGAGGCCUGAGGCCUGAGGGAAGGUCGUCUCUGAGGUCACCGGGCAGUGCAGCUGCGCGAUGCCAUCCCCCUCUGCAGUGUGGACGCCGAGUCUUGGCUGGAGGGCUGGCCCUAAGCUUGCAGGAGACGUAGAAGCCUGCUGGGGGGCCAGGAAUCUUGCUAACCAGUGUCGACGUAAAGGUGAACACGCAGACAUGCCCUUACUCUCUGGAAACUGAUGAGUACCAAUUCAGAGACAGUGAAGAAGCAAAUAACCAUGGCAUAGUGUAUUUGGCCUUUGAGUGUUUUACCUCUAUAAAUGCAACAUGUUAAUUGUUUAAACCUAGAAAUUAUAAAUUCUUGUCAACACGUUGAUGAAGAGUCUUAUUGGGACUUGGCUAUGGGCUUAAAAUAUAUUAGUUGAAAAUCAGAGUAUAAUUAAUCCAUUAAUUAUGAGAACUUAAAAAAAUUACAGUAUUUCUUUAAAUAUAAAGAAAAGAGGAAAAUAAUAAUAGCAUAUUAUUUAUGAUGCUUUCUUCUAGCCUUUCAGCAACUUUUAGGUUCUAAGGAAUUUAAUAAUAGAAGUGUAAAGGAGACAUUGAUUUAUGCCCCUAACAUAGUUUAAAAUUGCUGACUUUAAAAAGUUAAAUCCAUUUUAGCAUAUUACAUAGUUUUUAAAUCAAUAUAUUUGAGUCUUUUAGGAAAAAGUUAAACACAGACCUUAUGUUAGUUUAUUACUGUUGCUGUAACAACUUACCACAAAGUUAACAGCACAAAACAACAGCAAUGUAUUGUCAUACAGUUCUGUAGUCCAACUAAGAACUCAUGGGCCAAAGUCAAGGUGUCCACAGGUCUGUGUUUCUUUCUACAGGGAAGAAUUUGGCUUUUUGUUUGUUCAGGUUGACGGAAUUCAGUUCCUUGCUCUGGUAGUAUUGGUUCCAUACUAGCUCAUCAGCUGAGGGCAUGUUCCCAGCUUCUACAAGCCAUCCAUAUUUGGGUUGUGGCUCUCCUUCUUCAAAGCUGGGAUUGCUGGGUUGAAAGCCUCCCAUCUUUCUGACUUCUCAUGCCUUUUCUUCAGUUGUUUUCUCUCUAAUUGCAGUCUUUUAGGAAUCUAAUUAGAUUGGACCCACCUACAUAAUGCUGGAUAAUCUCUUCAUCUCAAGGUCCAUAACCUUAAUCACAGCUGCCAAGUCCCUUUUGCCAUGAAUCAGCUUCCCUCUUUGGUGGCCACUUUUCCUCCUAUGGGAAUAGUCCUCAUUCAUGCUACUGAAUGUGGUUUGGAUGGCAAACAUCUGAAUACUUUUUAAAUAUCAUGAAGUAUUUUGGCACAAUUCCUUAUAAUUGGCCCUUUUAUUCCACGGCAUGAAAAAGGCAAUGAAAAUAAUAGGCUUGCCAUGAAAGUGAAGAGGAUGAGAAUGAGAAUUUGAGGAUGCAGUGUUUACAGUAGAUUGGACCAAAAAUAAUCAAUUGCUCAGUCUGAGCAUGGAGGAUUCGGUAGAACUCUACACAUCUAUUGAGCAGACCUAAGGAGAUGAAAGAAUCAGGAUAGCAAGUUUCAACAAUCAUAAUCACCAUAUUCAAAUGGAUUUGAAAACACAUGGCUGUGGGUGGCUUGGAGUUCCUGUGGGCAAGAAAGAAGAAAGUCCAAGUUUUCUUUGUACAGUUGAAGAAAUGAAACAGAGAAUUCAGACAGACAUUUAUCAAUUGAAUCAAAGCUUUAAAAUAUAUUAUAAUAUGGUUAAAACACUAAGUAGUGGGGAUUCCUGGGUGGCUCAGCAGUUUGGCACCUGCCUUUGGCCCAGGAUGUGAUCCUGGAGUCCCCGGAUCGAGUCCCACAUCAGGCUUCCUGCAUGGAGCCUGCUUCUCCUCUGUGUCUCUGCCUCUCUCUAUCUGUGUCUCUCAUGAAUAAAUAAUAAAAUAUUUACAAAAAAAACCCCCAGUAACUAGUUAUAGUUACUAAUCAAUUACAAUAGAAAUUUUGUUUUCUAAGUUUUGCUAAAUUAUGAUUUAUCAAUGAUAUCUUAGAAGUUUAUAAGGUCUUUUAAAAUAAGUAUUAUGCAGACAUUUUGGACAGUAAAUUUCUUCACUAGAGAUAAAUAUAUUUGAAUCAAUAAUUUCAUUUUUCUUAAUUUUGGAUUUCCACUUUAAAAAUAACUUGUUGAUUAUUCAUGAGGACUAAUGGAAACUUGUUUUCAUGACCUGGGCUCUUUUUGUCAAGAACUGUGAAAAGUCUGAGAUCUCUACUUGCAAGCAAAAUAAGUAGCCUGACACAGUUGCCAGGCUGCUGGCAGAAGACCCAAGAUUCCAUAGUUAGAGACAAAAACUUUAUUACUUAUGGCUAGCAAGUAGCAUGAGCUUAUUUGGAUGAGUUCUCCUUAUCCCCAGGAUCCACAAAGGGCCCAGAUGAAUGUAUGCAUAAGCAAUGGGUUGUAUUACAGGAGAGGGAACCUGAUUUUAUAAUGGGCAGUGCACAUACCUAUUCUUGAUUCUGGUGGAGACACUACCUCUAUCCUCUAAGGUGGAAAGCACACUUGUUCUUUACUCCAGAGAAAGAUACUAUCUUUGUCUUUCAAGGAUUUUUGCUUUACCAACACUUAGGAGAAGAGAGUCUGGAAUAAGUAGUAGCCAGUGCCUCUUAAAGAAGUGCAGAAACAUGAAACACCCAUGGUGAAUUGUUUCUGUUGAAUGUACAUAUACAUACAUAAGUACAAUGCCUCAACUAUUUAUUCAACUAUGUUAUAAAACUUAGCAUUAGACACUAGGCAAUAUACAGUGAUGGGAAAACCAUGGUUCAUGUGCUCAAAGAGUUAAAGCAUGUGGUCACAUGCACCUACUACAAAACACAGUGAUUAAGUGUUUUAUCUGAGGUUUUUCACAUAGAACUUAAAAUGUUUAAGCUUGGGCAGCCCAGGUGGCCCAGUGGUUUAGCACCACUUUUGGCCUGGGGCGUGAUCCUGGAGACCGGGGAUCGAGUCCCACGUCAAGCUCCUUGCUUCUCCCUCUGUCUGUGUCUUUGCCUCUCUCUCUCUCUUUCUGUGUCUGUUGUAAAUAAAUAAAAAAUCUUAAAAAAAAAUGUUUGAGCUUGAUGUCAGAGAUGCUGGAAUCACUAUAGCACAGUAGGUAAGAGUUGAGGCUGAAUCCAAGUCCCACCAUUACAUGCAGUAUUUACCCACCUUGUUUGUAUUUCAGUUUCUUUAUUGGUAAAAUUUGUAUAAGUACCUACCUCAUAGGUAGUUGGGUAAAUUAAAUGACUUACUGUGGGGAAGAGCCUAGAAUAGUUUCUAAAACAUGCUGUCUGUUCAAAAAUUGUUAGUUCUGUAAAAUGUAACUGCUAUCACUUUUUAUCAUUGUGGCCCUAAAAAAGGUUACUUAACUUCCUUUCUAAGUCAUGUUUUUCUCACUUAUAAAACAGGAAUGAUAAUGUCUCAUUAGUGGACUCUGAGUCAUAAAUUAAAAAUGUAAUGAAUAUGCUUAAUAAUAAAGACUUAAAACUGUAGCUGUUAUUAAUAA